rnacentral:rRNA from 1 species
UACGUAGGGUGCGAGCGUUAAUCGGAAUUACUGGGCGUAAAGCGUGCGCAGGCGGUUUUGCAAGACAGAUGUGAAAUCCCCGGGCUUAACCUGGGAACUGCAUUUGUGACUGCAAGGCUAGAGUGUGGCAGAGGGGGGUGGAAUUCCGCGUGUAGCAGUGAAAUGCGUAGAGAUGCAGAGGAACACCAAUGGCGAAGGCAGCCCCCUGGGUUAACACUGACACUCAUGCACGAAAGCGUGGGGAGCAAACAGG